CCUGACUGCUAUCGGAUUGAUACUAAGCCAUGCGAGUCAUUGUAGUAAUACAAGGCAGACGGCUCAGUAACGCGUAGUCAACCUACCCUAUGGACGGGGAUAACCUCGGGAAACUGAGAAUAAUACCCGAUAGAACAUUAUGCCUGGAAUGGUUUAUGUUUCAAAUAAUUUAUUGCCGUAGGAUGGGACUGCGGCCUAUCAGUUUGUUGGUGAGGUAAUGGCCCACCAAGACUAUUACAGGUACGGGCUCUGAGAGGAGUAGCCCGGAGAUGGGUACUGAGACACGGACCCAGGCCCUAUGGGGCGCAGCAGGCGAGAAAACUUUGCAAUGUGCGAAAGCACGACAAGGUUAAUCCGAGUGGUUUCUGCUAAAGGAACCUUUUGUCAGUCCUAGAAACACUGAUGAAUAAGGGGUGGGCAAGUUCUGGUGUCAGCCGCCGCGGUAAAACCAGCACCUCAAGUGGUCAGGAUGAUUAUUGGGCCUAAAGCAUCCGUAGCCUGCUUUGUUAGUUUUCGGUUAAAUCCAUACGCUCAACGUAUGGGCUGCCGGGAAUACUACAAAGCUAGGGAGUGGGAGAGGUAGACGGUACUCGGUAGGAAGGGGUAAAAUCCUUUGAUCUAUUGAUGACCACCUGUGGCGAAGGCGGUCUACCAGAACACGUCCGACGGUGAGGGAUGAAAGCUGGGGGAGCAAACCGGAUUAGAUACCCGGGUAGUCCCAGCUGUAAACUAUGCAAACUCAGUGAUGCAUUGGCUUGAUGCCAAUGCAGUGCUGCAGGGAAGCCGUUAAGUUUGCCGCCUGGGAAGUACGUACGCAAGUAUGAAACUUAAAGGAAUUGGCGGGGGAGCACCACAAGGGGUGAAGCCUGCGGUUC
rnacentral:rRNA from 1 species